rnacentral:rRNA from 1 species
GACAGAGGUCUCAAGCGUUGUUCGGAUUCAUUGGGCGUAAAGGGUGUGUAGGUGGCGCGCUAAGUCGGGUGUGAAAUUUCGGAGCUUAACUCCGAAACUGCAUUCGAUACUGGCGUGCUUGAGGACUGGAGAGGAGACUGGAAUUCAUGGUGUAGCAGUGAAAUGCGUAGAGAUCAUGAGGAAGACCAGUGGCGAAGGCGGGUCUCUGGACAGUUCCUGACACUGAGACACGAAGGCCAGGGGAGCAAACGGG